UUUCGCAAUGCCCGAAAGGGUGACGAAGCGACGCCGCGUGUGGGAAGAAGGCCUUCGGGUUGUAAACCACUGUCGGGAGUUAAGAAAUGCAAGGAUAUGAAUAGUAUCUUUGCUUGACUAAGGCUCCGGAGGAAGCCACGGCUAACUCUGUGCCAGCAGCCGCGGUAAUACAGAGGCGGCAAGCGUUGUUCGGAAUUAUUGGGCGUAAAGAGCACGUAGGCGGCUAUGUGAGUCGGUUGUGAAAGCCUUCCGCUCAACGGGAGAACAGCAUCCGAUGCUGCAUGGCUUGAGUGCGGGAGGGGAGAGUGGAACUUCUGGUGGAGCGGUGAAAUGCGUAGAUAUCAGAAGGAACGCCGGCGGCGAAAGCGGCUCUCUGGCCCAUAACUGACGCUGAGUGUGCGAAAGCUAGGGGAGCAAACGGGAUUAGAUACCCCGGUAGUCCUAGCCGUAAACGAUGGGCACUAAGUAGAGGGGUUUU
rnacentral:rRNA from 1 species